GGAUGAGAGAUGGAUGAAAAUGAAUAGGAGAAGAAGGUUUGGGAGUAUUUUUCAUGGAUUUUGCUGGUUAGGGCUCGAAAUUUGGUGGAGAUCAAGAGGGCAAGCCAUGAGAGAGAGAGAAAGCUUGGAAAUUUGGGAUGAUGAUCCAAGAUUUUGUGAGGUUUUGAGGUUGGUGGAAAUCUAAGAGAGAAUUCUUAGGUUUGGGAUG
rnacentral:lncRNA from 1 species